rnacentral:tRNA from 1 species
GUUAAGAGUAGCUUAGUAUUAAAGCGGAGCCCUGAAGGCUCAAAUGGUUUUUAGAACCCCUUGACA